rnacentral:rRNA from 1 species
GACGAACGCUGGCGGCGUGCUUAACACAUGCAAGUCGAACGGAAAGGCCCUGCUUUUGUGGGGUGCUCGAGUGGCGAACGGGUGAGUAACACGUGAGUAACCUGCCCUUGACUUUGGGAUAACUUCAGGAAACUGGGGCUAAUACCGGAUAGGAGCUCCUGCUGCAUGGUGGGGGUUGGAAAGUUUCGGCGGUUGGGGAUGGACUCGCGGCUUAUCAGCUUGUUGGUGGGGUAGUGGCUUACCAAGGCUUUGACGGGUAGCCGGCCUGAGAGGGUGACCGGCCACAUUGGGACUGAGAUACGGCCCAGACUCCGACGGGAGGCAGCAGUGGGGAAUAUUGCACAAUGGGCGGAAGCCUGAUGCAGCAACGCCGCGUGCGGGAUGACGGCCUUCGGGUUGUAAACCGCUUUCGCCUGUGACGAAGCGUUAGUGACGGUAAUGGGUAAAGAAGCACCGGCUAACUACGUG